GCGAGUGAAGUGGGAAGAGCUCAAAUUUGUAAUCUGGCGGCCUCAGGCCGUCCGAGUUGUAAUCUGGAGAAGUGCCUUCUGCAUCGGGCCAUGUACAAGUCCCUUGGAAUGGGGCGUCGUAGAGGGUGAGAAUCCCGUCUUUGACAUGUGCUUUUUUUAUGAUGCUCUGUGAUGCGCUCUCGAAGAGUCGAGUUGUUUGGGAAUGCAGCUCAAAAUGGGUGGUAAAUUCCAUCUAAAGCUAAAUAUUGGCGAAAGACCGAUAGUGAACAAGUACCGUGAGGGAAAGAUGAAAAGCACUUUGAAAAGAGAGUUAAACAGUAUGUGAAAUUGUUGAAAGGGAAACGAUUGGAGUCAGUCGCGUCCCUCGAGACUCAGCCCGUAACUUUUGUUACCGGCGCACUUCUCGAGGUCGACGGGCCAGCAUCAAUCUCUGAUGGUCGGAUAAAGGUGGGGGGAAUGUGGCACCCUUGGGUGUGUUUAUAGCCCCCAUCGUAUACGACGGUUGGGAUUGAGGGUCGCAACAUGCCUUUAUGGCCCGGGGUUCGCCCACGUAACGUGCUUAGGAUGCUGGCAUAAUGGCUUCAAACGACCCGUCUUG
rnacentral:rRNA from 1 species